rnacentral:rRNA from 1 species
AGUGAACGCUGGCGGUAGGCCUAACACAUGCAAGUCGAACGGCAGCACAAUAAGAGCUUGCUCUUACGGGUGGCGAGUGGCGGACGGGUGAGGAAUACAUCGGAAUCUACUUUUUCGUGGGGGAUAACGUAGGGAAACUUACGCUAAUACCGCAUACGACCUACGGGUGAAAGCAGGGGAUCUUCGGACCUUGCGCGAUUGAAUGAGCCGAUGUCGGAUUAGCUAGUUGGCGGGGUAAAGGCCCACCAAGGCGACGAUCCGUAGCUGGUCUGAGAGGAUGAUCAGCCACACUGGAACUGAGACACGGUCCAGACUCCUACGGGAGGAGGCAGUGGGGAAUAUUGGACAAUAGGCGCAAGCCUGAUCCAGCCAUCCCGCGUGGGUGAAGAAGGCCUUCGGGUUGUAAAGCCCUUUUGUUGGGAAAGAAAAGCAGCAGGUUAAUACCCCGCUGUUCUGACGGUACCCAAAGAAUAAGCACCGGCUAACUUCGUG